rnacentral:rRNA from 1 species
AUUGAACGCUGGCGGCAUGCCUUACACAUGCAAGUCGAACGGUAACAGGUCUUCGGAUGCUGACGAGUGGCGAACGGGUGAGUAAUACAUCGGAACGUGCCUAGUAGUGGGGGAUAACUACUCGAAAGAGUGGCUAAUACCGCAUGAGAUCUACGGAUGAAAGCAGGGGAUCGCAAGACCUUGUGCUACUAGAGCGGCCGAUGGCAGAUUAGGUAGUUGGUGGGAUAAAAGCUUACCAAGCCGACGGUCUGUAGCUGGUCUGAGAGGACGAUCAGCCACACUGGGACUGAGACACGGCCCAGACUCCUACGGGAGGCAGCAGUGGGGAAUUUUGGACAAUGGGCGCAAGCCUGAUCCAGCAAUGCCGCGUGCAGGAUGAAGGCCUUCGGGUUGUAAACUGCUUUUGUACGGAACGAAAAGCCCCGGGUUAAUACCCUGGGGUCAUGACGGUACCGUAAGAAUAAGCACCGGCUAACUACGUGCCAGCAGCCGCUGUAA